CUACUACUUCCUCCGUCUGAAAAUACUUGUCAUCAAAAUGAACAAAAGAGGGUGUAUCUAGAUGACAAGUAUUUUCGGACGGAGGGAGUACCAC
rnacentral:pre_miRNA from 1 species